ACGACUACAUUAGAUACCCGGGUAGUCCUAGGCGUAAAUGAUGCGAGUUAAGUGUGGGGGCAUCUACGAGAUGGCCCUGUGCUGUAGGGUAGCCGUUAAACUCGCUGCCUGGGGAGUACAGUCGCAAGGCUGAAACUUAAAGGAAUUGGCGGGGAGCACCACAAGAGGUGGAGGCUGCGGUUCAAUUGGACUCAACGCCGGAAAACUCAUCGGGAGCGACAGCAGUAUGAUUGCCAGGUUGAUGACCUUGCUUGACAAGCUG
rnacentral:rRNA from 1 species